rnacentral:tmRNA from 1 species
GGGGCUGAAAGGAUUUCUACAUUUUGAUAUUUUAAUUAUGUCCUAUUUAACUGAUUACAUUUAUUAAUUUUUUGUAUAUUUAAUAGAUUUAUUCCUUAAUGAUAUUAGAAAUAGAGAAAUAUUAAUGAUUAUAGCUUAAUUGCAAAACACAGUAUUAUAUCUUUUUCUAGAAAUUUAGUAAUAGCAUGAAAUAAAUUAGUAGAAUGUUAAAUUGUGUUUUCUUGAUUCAAUUUAUUUAUUUAAAGAAUGCUCUGAUUGUAAAGUAUAAUUUUAUUUGUUAUUCUUCUUGCAAUUAGAAAAGUAUAAAGUAUCUGAAUUUAAAAGUUUAGUGAAAAUUUUGUUAAUUGGUUAAACGGUAUAAGCCUAAUUUUUAUGUUAAUAUGGACGUGGGUUCAAAUCCCACCAGCUCCA